UACGAAGGGGGCUAGCGUUGCUCGGAAUUACUGGGCGUAAAGCGCACGUAGGCGGUCCACUAAGUCGGAUGUGAAAGCCCUGGGCUCAACCCAGGAAGUGCAUUCGAAACUGGCGGGCUUGAAUAUGGAAGAGGGUCGCGGAAUUCCCGGUGUAGAGGUGAAAUUCGUAGAUAUCGGGAGGAACACCAGUGGCGAAGGCGGCGACCUGGGCCAAUAUUGACGCUGAGGUGCGAAAGCGUGGGGAGCAAACAGG
rnacentral:rRNA from 1 species